rnacentral:rRNA from 1 species
GACGAACGCUGGCGGCGUGCUUAACACAUGCAAGUCGAACGGAAAGGCCCUGCUUUUGUGGGGUGCUCGAGUGGCGAACGGGUGAGUAGCACGUGAGUAACCUGCCCUUGACUUUGGGAUAACUUCAGGAAACUGGGGCUAAUACCGGAUAGGAGCUCCUGCUGCAUGGUGGGGGUUGGAAAGUUUCGGCGGUUGGGGAUGGACUCGCGGCUUAUCAGCUUGUUGGUGGGGUAGUGGCUUACCAAGGCUUUGACGGGUAGCCGGCCUGAGAGGGUGACCGGCCACAUUGGGACUGAGAUACGGCCCAGACUCCUACGGGAGGCAGCAGUGGGGAAUAUUGCACAAUGGGCGGAAGCCUGAUGCAGCAACGCCGCGUGCGGGAUGACGGCCUUCGGGUUGUAAACCGCUUUCGCCUGUGACGAAGCGUGAGUGACGGUAAUGGGUAAAGAAGCACCGGCUAACUACGUGCCAGCAGCCGCGGUGAUACGUAGGGUGCGAGCGUUGUCCGGAUUUAUUGGGCGUAAAGGGCUCGUAGGUGGUUGAUCGCGUCGGAAGUGUAAUCUUGGGGCUUAACCCUGAGCGUGCUUUCGAUACGGGUUGACUUGAGGAAGGUAGGGGAGAAUGGAAUUCCUGGUGGAGCGGUGGAAUGCGCAGAUAUCAGGAGGAACACCAGUGGCGAAGGCGGUUCUCUGGGCCUUUCCUGACGCUGAGGAGCGAAAGCGUGGGGAGCGAACAGGCUUAGAUACCCUGGUAGUCCACGCUGUAAACGGUGGGUACUAGGUGUGGGGUCCAUUCCACGGGUUCCGUGCCGUAGCUAACGCUUUAAGUACCCCGCCUGGGGAGUACGGCCGCAAGGCUAAAACUCAAAGGAAUUGACGGGGCUCCGCACAAGCGGCGGAGCAUGCGGAUUAAUUCGAUGCAACGCGUAGAACCUUACCUGGGUUUGACAUGGAUCGGGAGUGCUCAGAGAUGGGUGUGCCUCUUUUGGGGUCGGUUCACAGGUGGUGCAUGGCUGUCGUCAGCUCGUGUCGUGAGAUGUUGGGUUAAGUCCCGCAACGAGCGCAACCCUUGUUCACUGUUGCCAGCACGUUAUGGUGGGGACUCAGUGGAGACCGCCGGGGUCAACUCGGAGGAAGGUGGGGAUGACGUCAAGUCAUCAUGCCCCUUAUGUCCAGGGCUUCACGCAUGCUACAAUGGCUGGUACAGAGAGUGGCGAGCCUGUGAGGGUGAGCGAAUCUCGGAAAGCCGGUCUCAGUUCGGAUUGGGGUCUGCAACUCGACCUCAUGAAGUCGGAGUCGCUAGUAAUCGCAGAUCAGCAACGCUGCGGUGAAUACGUUCCCGGG